CCCCACUGCUAUCGGGAUAGGACUAAGACAUGCUAGUUGAGCGCUUCAGCCAAAACGAAGCGCGGCAUACAGCUCAGUAACACGUGGCUAAUCUGCCCUUAGGAUAGGAACAACCCCGGGAAACUGGGGCUAAUUCCCAAUAGGCGAAGAACUCUGGAAUGAGUCUUCACCCGAAAUGAGCCUACGUUACGCUCGUAGGUCUCGCCUAAGGAUGAGGCCGCGGCCGAUCAGGUUGUUGGUGAGGUAAUGGCUCACCAAGCCUUUUACCGGUGCGGGCCGUGAGAGCGGGAGCCCGGAGAUGGGCACUGAGACAAGGGCCCAGGCCCUACGGGGCGCAGCAGUCGCGAAAACUUUGCAAUACACGAAAGUGUGACAGGGCUAUCCCGAGUGCCAUCCGCUGAGGAAGGCUUUUACCCAGUCUAGAACGCUGGGGGAAUAAGGAGAGGGCAAGUCUGGUGUCAGCCGCCGCGGUAAUACCAGCUCUCCGAGUGGUGUGGAUGUUUAUUGGGCCUAAAGCAUCCGUAGCUGGCUAAGUUAGUCCCUUGUUAAAUCCACCGAAUUAAUCGUUGGAUUGCGGGGGAUACUGCUUGGCUAGGGGACGAGAGAGGCAGACGGUAUUUCCGGGGUAGGGGUGAAAUCCUAUAAUCCCGGGAAGACCACCAGUGGCGAAGGCUGUCUGCUAGAACGCGCCCGACGGUGAGGGAUGAAAGCUGGGGGACGAACCGGAUUAGAUACCCGGGUAGUCCCAGCUGUAAACGAUGCAGGCUAGGUGUUUGGACGGCCACGUGCCGUUCUAGUGCCGCAGGGAAGCUGUUAAGCCUGCCGCCUGGGGAGUACGAUCGCAAGAUUGAAACUUAAAGGAAUUGGCGGGGGAGCACCACAAGGGGUGAAGCUUGCGGUUU
rnacentral:rRNA from 1 species